AGUGAACGCUGGCGGUAGGCCUAACACAUGCCAGUCGAACGGCAGCACAGUAAGAGCUUGCUCUUGCGGGUGGCGAGUGGCGGACGGGUGAGGAAUACAUCGGAAUCUACUUUUUCGUGGGGGAUAACGUAGGGAAACUUACGCUAAUACCGCAUACGACCUACGGGUGAAAGCAGGGGAUCUUCGGACCUUGCGCGAUUGAAUGAGCCGAUGUCGGAUUAGCUAGUUGGCGGGGUAAAGGCCCACCAAGGCGACGAUCCGUAGCUGGCCUGAGAGGAUGAUCAGCCACACUGGAACUGAGACACGGUCCAGACUCCUACGGGAGGCAGCAGUGGGGAAUAUUGGACAAUGGGCGCAAGCCUGAUCCAGCCAUACCGCGUGGGUGAAGAAGGCCUUCGGGUUGUAAAGCCCUUUUGUUGGGAAAGAAAAGCAGCAGGUUAAUACCCCGCUGUUCUGACGGUACCCAAAGAAUAAGCACCGGCUAACUUCGUG
rnacentral:rRNA from 1 species